rnacentral:rRNA from 1 species
UACGUAGGGUGCGAGCGUUAAUCGGAAUUACUGGGCGUAAAGCGUGCGCAGGCGGUGCUGUAAGACCGAUGUGAAAUCCCCGGGCUUAACCUGGGAACUGCAUUUGUGACUGCAAGGCUGGAGUGCGGCAGAGGGGGAUGGAAUUCCGCGUGUAGCAGUGAAAUGCGUAGAUAUGCGGAGGAACACCGAUGGCGAAGGCAAUCCCCUGGGCCUGCACUGACGCUCAUGCACGAAAGCGUGGGGAGCAAACAGG